UACGGAGGGAACUAGCGUUGUUCGGAUUUACUGGGCGUAAAGGGCGCGUAGGCGGUUUAUUAAGUUAGAAGUGAAAGCCCAGGGCUUAACCCUGGAACUGCUUCUAAAACUGAUUGACUAGAGUGCGGGAGAGGAUAGUGGAAUUCCUAGUGUAGAGGUGAAAUUCUUAGAUAUUAGGAGGAACACCAGUGGCGAAGGCGACUAUCUGGAACGUUACUGACGCUGAGGCGCGAAAGCGUGGGGAGCAAACAGG
rnacentral:rRNA from 1 species